rnacentral:rRNA from 1 species
GACGAACGCUGGCGGCGCGCCUAACACAUGCAAGUCGAACGAGCGAGAGAGAGCUUGCUUUCUCGAGCGAGUGGCGAACGGGUGAGUAACGCGUGAGGAACCUGCCUCAAAGAGGGGGACAACAGUUGGAAACGACUGCUAAUACCGCAUAAGCCCACGGGUCGGCAUCGACCAGAGGGAAAAGGAGCAAUCCGCUUUGAGAUGGCCUCGCGUCCGAUUAGCUAGUUGGUGAGGUAACGGCCCACCAAGGCGACGAUCGGUAGCCGGACUGAGAGGUUGAACGGCCACAUUGGGACUGAGACACGGCCCAGACUCCUACGGGAGGCAGCAGUGGGGAAUAUUGCACAAUGGGGGAAACCCUGAUGCAGCGACGCCGCGUGGAGGAAGAAGGUCUUCGGAUUGUAAACUCCUGUUGUUGAGGAAGAUAAUGACGGUACUCAACAAGGAAGUGACGGCUAACUACGUGCCAGCAGCCGCGGUAAAACGUAGGUCACAAGCGUUGUCCGGAAUUACUGGGUGUAAAGGGAGCGCAGGCGGGAAGACAAGUUGGAAGUGAAAUCCAUGGGCUCAACCCAUGAACUGCUUUCAAAACUGUUUUUCUUGAGUAGUGCAGAGGUAGGCGGAAUUCCCGGUGUAGCGGUGGAAUGCGUAGAUAUCGGGAGGAACACCAGUGGCGAAGGCGGCCUACUGGGCACCAACUGACGCUGAGGCUCGAAAGUGUGGGUAGCAAACAGGAUUAGAUACCCUGGUAGUCCACACCGUAAACGAUGAUUACUAGGUGUUGGAGGAUUGACCCCUUCAGUGCCGCAGUUAACACAAUAAGUAAUCCACCUGGGGAGUACGACCGCAAGGUUGAAACUCAAAGGAAUUGACGGGGGCCCGCACAAGCAGUGGAGUAUGUGGUUUAAUUCGACGCAACGCGAAGAACCUUACCAAGUCUUGACAUCCCUUGACGAUGCUGGAAACAGUAUUUCUCUUCGGAGCAAGGAGACAGGUGGUGCAUGGUUGUCGUCAGCUCGUGUCGUGAGAUGUUGGGUUAAGUCCCGCAACGAGCGCAACCCUUAUGGUCAGUUACUACGCAAGAGGACUCUGGCCAGACUGCCGUUGACAAAACGGAGGAAGGUGGGGAUGACGUCAAAUCAUCAUGCCCUUUAUGACUUGGGCUACACACGUACUACAAUGGCGUUAAACAAAGAGAAGCAAGACCGCGAGGUGGAGCAAAACUCAGAAACAACGUCCCAGUUCGGACUGCAGGCUGCAACUCGCCUGCACGAAGUCGGAAUUGCUAGUAAUCGUGGAUCAGCAUGCCACGGUGAAUACGUUCCCGGGCCUUGCACA